rnacentral:lncRNA from 1 species
CUGACUAUAGUCCUGCAAGGAGAGAGGAAGAACAAGACUCUGAAUAUAAACUAAAAAUUAUACAUUGUGAUUUAUAAAUGAAGGCAUAUACGUAAAAUUUGAUUCUAAAUUAUAUGUACAAUAGCAGUUGAUCUGUUCUAUUAUUUUAGAGAUUCGUAAAAAUUAAAUUGUAAUUCAAUUAUCGAACUUCUACCAGUAAUAUUGAACUUAUUGUUAUAUUUCUUCAUUCCCAAUAAUUUUAACUUCCAUAAUUUUGCAG